rnacentral:rRNA from 1 species
CGGGAGGCAGCAGUGAGGAAUAUUGCGCAAUGGAGGAAACUCUGACGCAGCCAUGCCGCGNUGCAGGAAGACGGCCCUACGGGUUGUAAACUGCUUUUAUAUAGGAAGAAACCCCGAUACGUGUAUCGGCUUGACGGUACUAUAUGAAUAAGGACCGGCUAACUCCGUGCCAGCAGCCGCGGUAAUACGGAGGGUCCAAGCGUUAUCCGGAUUUAUUAGGUUUAAAGGGUCCGCAGGCGGGAUUUUAAGUCAGUGGUGAAAGCCUACAGCUCAACUGUAGAACUGCCAUUGAUACUGAUAUCCUUGAGUGUGGUUGAAGUGGGCGGAACAUGCCAUGUAGCGGUGAAAUGCAUAGAUAUGACAUAGAACACCAAUUGCGAAGGCAGCUCACUAAGCCAUUACUGACGCUGAGGGACGAAAGCGUGGGGAGCGAACAGGAUUAGAUACCCUGGUAGUCCACGCCGUAAACGAUGAUCACUCGUUGCUAGCGAUACACUGUUAGUGACCAAGCGAAAGUGUUAAGUGAUCCACCUGGGAAGUACGUUCGCAAGAAUGAAACUCAAAUGAAUUGACGG